rnacentral:rRNA from 1 species
AGAGUUUGAUCAUGGCUCAGAGCGAACGCUGGCGGCAGGCCUAACACAUGCAAGUCGAGCGGGCACCUUCGGGUGUCAGCGGCAGACGGGUGAGUAACGCGUGGGAACGUACCCUUUGGUUCGGAACAACUCCGGGAAACUGGAGCUAAUACCGGAUAAGCCCUUUUGGGGAAAGAUUUAUCGCCGAAGGAUCGGCCCGCGUCUGAUUAGCUAGUUGGUGAGGUAACGGCUCACCAAGGCGACGAUCAGUAGCUGGUCUGAGAGGAUGAUCAGCCACACUGGGACUGAGACACGGCCCAGACUCCUACGGGAGGCAGCAGUGGGGAAUAUUGGACAAUGGGCGCAAGCCUGAUCCAGCCAUGCCGCGUGAGUGAUGAAGGCCCUAGGGUUGUAAAGCUCUUUCACCCACGACGAUAAUGACGGUAGUGGGAGAAGAAGCCCCGGCUAACUUCGUGCCAGCAGCCGCGGUAAUACGAAGGGGGCUAGCGUUGCUCGGAAUCACUGGGCGUAAAGGGCGCGUAGGCGGCCGAUCAAGUCAGGGGUGAAAGCCUGUGGCUCAACCACAGAAUGGCCUUUGAUACUGUUCGGCUCGAGACCGGAAGAGGUUGGUGGAACUGCGAGUGUAGAGGUGAAAUUCGUAGAUAUUCGCAAGAACACCGGUGGCGAAGGCGGCCAACUGGUCCGGUUCUGACGCUGAGGC